rnacentral:rRNA from 1 species
AUUGAACGCUGGCGGCAUGCCUUACACAUGCAAGUCGAACGGUAACGGGUCCUUCGGGAUGCCGACGAGUGGCGAACGGGUGAGUAAUAUAUCGGAACGUGCCCAGUAGUGGGGGAUAACUGCUCGAAAGAGCAGCUAAUACCGCAUACGACCUGAGGGUGAAAGGGGGGGAUCGCAAGACCUCUCGCUAUUGGAGCGGCCGAUAUCAGAUUAGCUAGUUGGUGGGGUAAAGGCCUACCAAGGCUACGAUCUGUAGUUGGUCUGAGAGGACGACCAGCCACACUGGGACUGAGACACGGCCCAGACUCCUACGGGAGGCAGCAGUGGGGAAUUUUGGACAAUGGGCGCAAGCCUGAUCCAGCAAUGCCGCGUGCAGGAGGAAGGCCUUCGGGUUGUAACGUAGCGUUUUGUUCGUAGGGAAGAAAGUACUUC